AUACACCCCGCGCAGCAACAUUGUUACAUGUUUGCGUUGGGGAAACGAUGUGUGACACCCAGGCAGGCGUGCCCUCGGCCUAAUGGCUUCGGGCGCAACUUGCGUUCAAAGACUCGAUGGUUCACGGGAUUCUGCAAUUCACACCAAGUAUCGCAUUUCGCUGCGUUCUUCAUCGAUGCAGACCUUGGACC
rnacentral:misc_RNA from 1 species